UAGGUGGGAGGCUUUGAAGCGUGGACGCCAGUCUGCGUGGAGCCGACCUUGAAAUACCACCCUUUAAUGUUUGAUGUUCUAACGUGGAUCCGUAAUCCGGGUUGCGGACAGUGUCUGGUGGGUAGUUUGACUGGGGCGGUCUCCUCCUAAAGAGUAACGGAGGAGCACGAAGGUUGGCUAAUCCUGGUCGGACAUCAGGAGGUUAGUGCAAUGGCAUAAGCCAGCUUGACUGCGAGCGUGACGGCGCGAGCAGGUGCGAAAGCAGGUCAUAGUGAUCCGGUGGUUCUGAAUGGAAGGGCCAUCGCUCAACGGAUAAAAGGUACUCCGGGGAUAACAGGCUGAUACCGCCCAAGAGUUCAUAUCGACGGCGGUGUUUGGCACCUCGAUGUCGGCUCAUCACAUCCUGGGGCUGAAGUAGGUCCCAAGGGUAUGGCUGUUCGCCAUUUAAAGUGGUACGCGAGCUGGGUUUAGAACGUCGUGAGACAGUUCGGUCCCUAUCUGCCGUGGGCGCUGGAGAACUGAGGGGGGCUGCUCCUAGUACGAGAGGACCGGAGUGGACGCAUCACUGGUGUUCGGGUUGUCAUGCCAAUGGCACUGCCCGGUAGCUAAAUGCGGAAGAGAUAAGUGCUGAAAGCAUCUAAGCACGAAACUUGCCCCGA
rnacentral:rRNA from 2 species